GGCCUGAUGGUCUAGUAGUAUGAUUCCUUGUUAGGGUGUUCUAAAAUCCAUCGAGGAGGUCCCGGGUUCAAUUCCCGGUCAGGCCC